CGCAUCUGUGCAUGCAGCAUAUCAAUAAGCGGAGGAAAAGAAACUAACAAGGAUUCCCUCAGUAACGGCGAGUGAAGCGGGAAGAGCUCAAAUUUGAAAUCUUGAAAGGUCACCUUUCACGAAUUGUAGUUUAAAGAAGUGUUUUCUGUUACGAUCGUAAUAUAAGUUCUUUGGAAUAGGACAUCACAGAGGGUGAGAAUCCCGUCUAUGAUUGCGAUUUGUAGCUUUGUGAUACACUUUCAAAGAGUCGGGUUGUUUGGGAAUGCAGCCCAAAACGGGAGGUAAAUUUCUUCUAAGGCUAAAUAUUGGCGAGAGACCGAUAGCGAACAAGUACCGUGAGGGAAAGAUGAAAAGAACUUUGAAAAGAGAGUUAAGUAGUACGUGAAAUUGUCAAAAGGGAAGCGUUUAACACCAGUGUUGUUUUCUGAAAGUCAACCUUUGUUAGCUUUAUGUAUGUUUGUUUAGACCUAAUCAGCUAUCUUGCAUGUUCUAUUGUUUGCAGUGGUGCACUUUUCAGUUUACAGGUCAACAUCAGUUUUUUUUACCGUAAAAAAGUUAAAGAAAGGUAGCAUCAUGGCUCCGGUCGUGAGUGUUAUAGUCUUUUUCCUAUGCGGUAGGAGAGACUGAGGUCUGCAGUGUAGGCUAUUUGGCUAGAUACUCAGGUGCUAUGUGAUACCAUUUCAUAAACAACUCGUUGAUUAUGUUUUGUCUAUUGCAUACUCGCUUGUACUAUCAUACCUACGCUUAGGAUGUUGAAGUCAUCGUAUCGCGC
rnacentral:rRNA from 1 species